UGUCAAGACAUGCCCCUCGCGACUUACCAGUACCAAGCGCUCAAAGAGGCCCUCGCCGCUUCCAUCUCCACCGCCGGCGACGUGCGCCGCCCCCACGCCCUCGUCGUAGUGUCGGGUCUCGCCGGCAACGGCUACGUCGUCUCCCUCCUCGUAUCCCGCUACUUCCGCCUCGGCGCCGCCAAUGCCGCGCGCAGGGCGUUCGACGCUGUUCCCCUUCGCCGGGCAGCAUCGCUCCCCGUCUCGGCGCCGCCGCCUAAGCCCCUCCUCUACAACGCCAUGAUCCGCGGGUACCUCGCUCUCGGCCUCCCCCGCCUGGCGGUCGAUGUCUUCCGAGAGAUGGCGUGCCCGCCCGACCGCCACACGUACCACCUCGCCGUGACGGCGUGCGCUCGCGCGUCGGAGUUUGAGCUCGGUCGGCGUAUCGGGAGCGAAGCAUGCUCCAGAGGACUUUCAACCGACCUCCUGGUCGGGACGGCGCUGGUCGUAAUGCAUUCUGAAGCAGGUGACAUGGAGGCUGCUCUCACGGUGUUUGAUGAAAUGCCGCACCGCGAUGACGUGGUGUGGAAUGCCCUCAUUGCUGGCUAUGCCCGUGCGAAUUGCAUGGGAGAGGCUCUCAGGUUAUUCGUAAGGAUGAGGAUGGUGGAUGGAGUGUCUCCGACUGAGGCAACAUUGGUGAGCUUGGUUUCCGGGUUUGCAAGCUAUGGUUCUUGGAAGGUCUGCUAUAUGAUUCAUGCUGUUGUGAUUAGGUCUGGUUUCCACCUUAACGUCUGUGUUUGCAACGCUCUCCUGGAGCUUUAUCUUUACUCCGGCUGUUUGAGGGAGGCUGUCAUGUUGUUUCGUCAGAUGGAGGUGAAAGAUUCCAUCACUUGGAGUACGAUUAUUGGUGGGCUUGUUCGGAAUGGACGACCGAAUUCUGCUCUUAACCUUUUCCACUGGAUGCUGUCAAAUUCGACUGUGUCGGCCACUAGGUCCAUCUUGCUUAAUGUCAUUGCGGCCUGCGCUGAGCUGGGGGAGUGGGAACAAGGAAGAUGGAUUGAACAAAGCUAUGUGCUGGCUGAUUCUAGUGAAUUCAAUAGAGAUCCAUCUUUGGUAACUGCACUGAUAUAUAUGUAUGCAAGGUGUGGACAGUUAGAUUCUUCAAUUGCUCUUCUACAUGGAGUUGCAGCAAUGAGAGAUGACAUAGUUGCAUGGAAUGCCAUGAUCAAAGGCUGUGGAGUUCUCGGGCAUGUGGGAAAGGCAAUAGGAUUUGCAGUGGAAAUGCAGAGGGUAGGCAUUGAUCCAGAUGCUGUCACAUUCUUGGAGAUCCUACCUAUGAUUUCUUCGAUACCAUCACUGAAGAAGGGGAUGGAAGCACAUGGUCAGAUCGUUAAAAGAGGUUUCCAGAAUGAAAGGACAAUUGCUAAUUCACUCAUUACCAUGUAUGGUCGAUGUGGGGAUCUUAGACAUUCAUUUGACACCUUUAGUGGGAUUGUGGACAAGGAUGUAAUCUCUUGGACUUCUAUGAUUCAGGUAUACGCCUGGAAUGGACAUGCUGUUGAAGUUGUCGAGCUUUUUGAGCUGAUGAAGAAAACAGAAGUGAAACCGAACCGCUACACCUUUCUUGCUGUGCUGUCUGCAUGUAAGAACACAGGUCUUGUUGAAGAGGGAAUGGACUUGCUCAAGUUCAUGGAAGAGCAAUAUGGUCUUGAGCCGGAUGUUGAGCAUAUUUCAUGUGUUGUUGAUAUGCUCUGUCGUACUGGACGCUUGACUGAUGCAUAUGCAUAUGACCUGAUAAAAAGUACUAUUUCUGAACGUGUAGACAAUCAUAUAUUAUGGGGGAUAUUGCUAAGUGCUUCCCGUUCAUCUGGGGAUUUGGUGAUUGGAGAAGCAGCUGCCAGACAUCUCUUGUCUCUGGAUCCAGAAAAUCGAGCCAACUAUAAAAUGCUUGCUGAUAUUUAUGUCUCGCUUGGGAGAAGGGAUAGUGCUGAUAAUAUCCUUAGACUAUCAUUGUCAAGAGGGCUAGACUCGAAACCAGGCUGCAGCUGGACUGAAGGUGGCUAAAUGUUGCAAGUGCAUGCUAGAUGAAUCAGGAUGUGGAAACCCCUUUUCCUUUUUCUCGGACCAAGAACAACUUCUGUGGAGAUAUGCCCCACAAUCUAGCAAGGAUAGCCUCUCGUGGAUCAGAGCAAAGGAAGCUUACUGGGUGACAUGUACACAGAAACUCCGAGUGAAUCUUGCAUAAACUUCUGGGAUGGGAUCUUGCAAAGGUUCGUGCACAUACCGACACAGUUGGUGCUUUCCAGAAACCUGUCACCGAGUAAGAUAACAAAUUAAGUAAGAUAAGUACCACUUACGUCAAGAUUUGUUGGUAUGUCUGCACUCUGCACCUUAGUAAAUAUUUUCCUUAUGUUGGUGUUAAUUGGGAUAGUGUCUCAAACAUGGGUAGUACUGGUAUGUUGCAUUUGCCUCUUACUUUUCAUUUCUUCUUAUUUUCAGAAGGUAUUUUUCGCCUAUUCUCAUAGGCAGUUUGUGGAGUGUGAGUAGGAACAUCAGUCUGCCACAAUUGCGACAUGGACAGUACAAGUGGCAUGUCAGCCUUAGUACUUUCUUGCCUUUUCUUUCAAGUGGAUUUACUUAUAAGAUGGACAUACUGCAAUAAAUUCAUUCAAUCAAUGGGUGCAGAAUCAUGCACUGUUUAUUUCAAAAUAAGUUAAUUGUUUUUGCACCUAUGAAUGCUCAGAGCAACCGUUUGGACCAAUAUAUUUGGGACACCUUAUAUUCAACCUAGUUAAACUCAUUCCACAAUUUGUUUUCUUGCAUUUAGUUUCCUUAGCAUUAGCUACUCAGCGGAAAAGUUCCUCGGUUAUGAUUGAAUUACCUGCAUUUGGGGAUGUACACCACAUUCUUCUCUCUCGUUCCAUCGACUUCAGAUUCCCUGACCUUGUUCAAUGACAUAAUAAUGAUCACUCAGAAAACUUAUCCAAAGUGGGGAGUGUAUUCCAUGUGGGACUGCAUUAAAGAAAUAUUAAUAUAUGUACUAUAAAUGUCUUGUAUAUUGCUACAUCCAAGCCACAUCCUACCACUUUUGCAAUAUUUAUCAACUUGGCAUGUGGCUUUAUAUCGGUUCAUUUUGGGCAGGGCUCACCAGAAGCACUAGCAUGGAGUCUUUCUUUGAAUGAUGCCCUCCUUGAGGGCAGGCUACUUAUUUUAUGAAGUGAAAUAUUGCAUAUUUAUUGCAUGGAGCAAGAACAUGUCAAGGAGAGAAAAUCUGUUGAUAUAGUACCUCACAUGGUCCAACCAGCCAAGGGAAGAAUAUGGUGGUGAAGGCAGCAAAGUACUCCCUGGAAAAUCUUGAAGGCGGCAUCAUCACCUUUAUCUGCCCAAACAGAAUUCUGUCAAACCAAAAUCCAGGUAAAAAGUAGAGACAUUUGUACUGUUUCCCCUUCCUCCAUGCCCAAAAAGAAGGCCUUUAAAUUUGAAAGCAGAAGUUUGAAAUCCUAUAUAGUUGCUUUUUUACUUUUGUUUUUGUUGAGAAAAUAAAUCACUGGUGGGAUAGCAUAGCCAGCUGAAAUCUGAAUACUAUUAUGAAGUUAA